GCUAAUGUAGUUCAUUGGAAAGAACACUGGAUUUUGAGUCGGGAGACCUGGGUUCAAAUUACAGCUUCUGUU
rnacentral:tRNA from 1 species